rnacentral:rRNA from 1 species
AGCUUAAAUUUUUUUAAAAGACGAGAAGACCCUUUAGAGUUUUAUUUUUUGAUUUAUUUAUAAUUUAGGAAUUUAAUUAGAUUAAAUUAUUUAGUUGGGGUGACUCAAGGAUUUAUAAAAUUCUUUGAUUAUAAUAUUGUUGAUUUUUAAAUUUAUUUUCUGUAUUUUCAAGUUUAAAUUAAAUUACCUUAGGGAUAACAGCGUAAUUUUCCUUUAAAGUUCUCAUUAAAAGGAGAGUUUGCGACCUCGAUGUUGGAUUAAAAUAAAUUUUUGGUGCAGUAACUUAGGGAUUAGGUCUGUUCGACCUUUAAAAUUUUACAUGAUCUGAGUUUAGACCGGCGUGAGCCAGGUUAGAUUCUAUCUUUAGAAUUUUUUAAUAUUUUAGUACGAAAGGACCAAGUAUAGAUUAUAAUAAUUGU